rnacentral:misc_RNA from 1 species
GAUGAAGAACGUAGCGAAAUGCGAUAAGUAAUGUGAAUUGCAGAAUUCAGUGAAUCAUCGAAUCUUUGAACGCACCUUGCGCCCUUUGGACAUUCCGAAGGGCAUGCCUGUUUGAGUAUCAUGAACACCUCAACUCUCACGGCUUGUCCGUGAUGAGCUUGGACUUUGGGGGUCUUGCCGGCCUGUGGUCGGCUCCUCUCAAAUGGAUCAGCUUGCCAGUGUUUGGUGGCAUCACAGGUGUGAUAACUAUCUGCGCUUGUGGUUUUCCAUCAGAUAACCUUCAGUGAUAUGGAGGUUCGCUGGAGUUCACAAAUGUCUCUCCUUAGUGAGGACAGCUCUUUGAACGUUUGAUCUCAAAUCAGGUAGGACUACCCGCUGAACUUAAGCAUAUCAAUAAGCGGAGGA